GACUAGUUCCGGGUUCGAGUCCCGGGCAACCCAC
rnacentral:tRNA from 1 species